rnacentral:rRNA from 1 species
ACAAUGAAGAGUUUGAUCCUGGCUCAGGAUGAACGCUAGCUACAGGCUUAACACAUGCAAGUCGAGGGGCAGCAUGGAGUUUGCUUGCAAACUCUGAUGGCGACCGGCGCACGG